rnacentral:rRNA from 1 species
UACGUAGGGUGCAAGCGUUAAUCGGAAUUACUGGGCGUAAAGCGUGCGCAGGCGGUUUUGUAAGUCUGUCGUGAAAGCCCCGGGCUCAACCUGGGAAUUGCGAUGGAGACUGCAAGGCUUGAAUCUGGCAGAGGGGGUAGAAUUCCACGUGUAGCAGGUGAAAUGCGUAGAGAUGAUGGAGGAACACCGAUGGCGAAGGCAGCCCCUGGGUCAAGAUUGACGCUCAUGCACGAAGCGUGGGGAGC